AGAACGAACGCUGGCGGCAGGCCUAACACAUGCAAGUCGAACGCUGUAGCAAUACAGAGUGGCAGACGGGUGAGUAACACGUGGGAACAUACCCUUAGGUUCGGAAUAGCUCAGGGAAACUUGAGGUAAUACCGGAUAAGCCCUUCGGGGGAAAGAUUUAUCGCCAUUGGAAUGGCCCGCGUCUGAUUAGCUAGUUGGUGGGGUAAUGGCUCACCAAGGCGACGAUCAGUAGCUGGUCUGAGAGGAUGACCAGCCACACUGGGACUGAGACACGGCCCAGACUCCUACGGGAGGCAGCAGGUGGGGAAUAGUUGGACAAUGGGCGAAAGCCUGAUCCAGCCAUGCCGCGUGAGUGAAGAAGGCCUUAGGGUUGUAAA
rnacentral:rRNA from 1 species